CCUACGGGAGGCAGCAGCAAGGAAUUUUGCACAAUCGACGCAAGUCGGAUGCAGCAACGCCGCGUGGGGGAUGAAGGCUCUCGGGUUGUAAACCCCUUUUGCGAGGGAAGAAGAUCUGACGGUACCUCGCGAAUAAGUCACGGCUAACUACGUGCCAGCAGCCGCGGUAAUACGUAGGUGGCGAACGUUGUCCGGAUUCACUGGGCGUAAAGCGCGCGCAGGCGGACUGAUAAGUCAGAGGUGAAAUCUCCCGGCUCAACUGGGAGGGGCCCUUUGAUACUGUCAGUCUUGAGGCACCUAGAGGAGAGUGGAAUUCCCGGUGUAGUGGUGGAAUGCGUAGAUAUCGGGAGGAACACCAGUGGCGAAAGCGACUCUCUGGGGGUGACCUGACGCUGAGGCGCGAAAGCGUGGGGAGCAAACGGGGAUUAGAUACCCCGGUAGUCCACGCCGUAAACGAUGAGUACUAGCUGUCUGGGGUAUCGACUCCCUGGGUAGCGAAGCUAACGCGAUAAGUACUCCGCCUGGGGACUACGACCGCAAGGUUAAAACUCAAAGGAAUUGACGGCUGAGACGNGCGAGACGACGACGAGGAGAG
rnacentral:rRNA from 1 species